rnacentral:lncRNA from 1 species
AGGAGACUUCUGCCCCUUAAGUGACAUUUUCCUGGUGGAGGUAAUCUGAGAACUGAUAAGGGGAAAAAUGCUAAAGGCUGUAAUCUCAAGAUUAGGACCAAAUAGAUGCUCAGAGAUGUUUGGCUUGUGAAAUGCUCUUAAUACAUAAGGAAAGCAUUUUGGGAUAAACCUUUGUGAAAGAUGCUAUGUCAAGUUUUAACUCUUCUCAAAGACCUUUUCUUUAGCACUUUGAUGUUUCUUAAGGUAAAACGUAGGCAGGAGGAAUUGAUGUUCUUAAGGGGACAGAAGGUGGGUUUUUCUCUGGGCUUUUGUUUUUUUUCCCCUCCUCUGGGCCAUUGCCCUCUGAUGGAAUUAAUUAGUAUUUCUUUGGCUGUUUGAUUUUUUUAUAUUGUAUUUUUAAAAUUUGUUGUAUGGUGCCCUGUGAGCAUCAAGUACCACCAGAUAAAUAAAACUUAUUAUAUCUAAA